AAUGAACGCUGGCGGCAGGCCUAACACAUGCAAAUCGAACGGAUUCUUCGGGAUUAGUGGCGGACGGGUGAGUAACGCGUGGGAACAUACCCAAAGGUACGGAAUAGCCUCGGGAAACUGGGAGUAAUACCGUAUGUGCUCGAAAGAGGAAAGAUUUAUCGCCUUUGGAUUGGCCCGCGUUGGAUUAGGUAGUUGGUGGGGUAAUGGCCUACCAAGCCGACGAUCCAUAGCUGGUUUGAGAGGAUGAUCAGCCUCACUGGGACUGAGACACGGCCCAGACUCCUACGGGAGGCAGCAGUGAGGAAUCUUAGACAAUGGGGGAAACCCUGAUCUAGCCAUGCCGCGUGAUCGAUGAAGGCCUUAGGGUUGUAAAGAUCUUUCAGGUGGGAAGAUAAUGACUGUACCACCAGAAGAAGCCCCGGCUAACUCCGUGCCAGCCGCCGCCGUAA
rnacentral:rRNA from 1 species